GAUGAACGCUGGCGGCGUGCCUAAUACAUGCAAGUCGAGCGAACAGACGAGAAGCUUGCUUCUCUGAUGUUAGCGGCGGACGGGUGAGUAACACGUGGAUAACCUACCUAUAAGACUGGGAUAACUUCGGGAAACCGGAGCUAAUACCGGAUAAUAUUUUGAACCGCAUGGUUCAAAAGUGAAAGACGAUCUUGCUGUCACUUAUAGAUGGAUCCGCGCCGCAUUAGCUAGUUGGUAAGGUAACGGCUUACCAAGGCAACGAUGCAUAGCCUACCUGAGAGGGUGAUCGGCAACACUGGAACUGAGACACGGUCCAGACUCGUACGGGAGGCAGCAGUAGGGAAUCUUCCGCAAUGGGCGAAAGCCUGACGGAGCAACGCCGCGUGAGUGAUGAAGGUCUUCGGAUCGUAAAACUCUGUUAUUAGGGAAGAACAUAUGUGUAAGUAACUGUGCACAUCUUGACGGUACCUAAUCAGAAAGCCACGGCUAACUACGUG
rnacentral:rRNA from 1 species